rnacentral:miRNA from 1 species
GAGGCAGGAGAAUUGCUUGAACCCAGGAGGUGGAGGUUGCAGUGAGCUGAGAUCAAGCCACUGCACUCCAGCCUGGGUGACAGAGCGAGACUCCAUCUCA